UACAAGAUUUGAGAAAACACUGGAGAUGCCUAUACUCUUCCUGCAUUUUCAGUGACCUCACUGACUGGAAACUGGGCACCUCGUUCCUUCUCACAAGUGUCAUAAUACACCAUGAGGUGGUUGGGUCCCAUUUCCAGAACAACCAGAGUGACGUCUGAACAAUGCUCUCUAAACAAGAUCUUCAUGUCUGCUCCCAAAGAGGGUUGCUACAUUCUUAGCUUCCCUCAAUUUAAUUCUUUUAUGAUAAAAAGAAGUAAGGAGGCUUAGCAGAGGUGCUUGAAGAAGGCCUCCACCUAAAGCCUCAGAGAAAGACACCUAGGAAUGAAGGUGCCUGGGCUUGGAAUGCAAAUGGCGGAAGAACUUGAUGGACCGGAGCAGCCUGGCCUGAGUCCUUUUCUGCCAUUCCCCUUGGACACUGCCAUCCUCUGGAUGGGCGUCAAGCCUGCUGUGGAAAGGGCAGCUUCCACUUCGAGGCCUGUCACAUAAACCUUUUGUAAUCAUUUGUGGUCACACCUGGAAAAUAGUAAGUAGGUUUUUAACCAGGAGUUGGACUCCUCACACCAAUACUGUUUAAAAAAAUGAUAAUUUAAGUUUCACACAUGUUUCUUUUGAGUAGCCUGUGAGAAAGGAAAUUAUAAAUGUUUAAAAUAAAGUGAGCAUAACUUUGGGAAUAAUCAAGAUCGAGUUUGAAGAAUUAUCGGCCUUGGUUGUUAAUUGAUACAAGAAAGAAAGAGAGUAAUCACUCAAAAGAAUGAGUAGCGUGAAAAGAACAACAUCAAAUAUUUGAAGUUCAAAACUAUUCAGAAAAUAUUUGGAAGGAGAGAGGACAUUCAGAAGAUAGAGAAGAUGAAAUGAAGAUGUUUAGGUUUAGACACAGGGGUACCUUGUCACAAUAGAACAUGAGUAGGUAAUUUUGAAGAAAAAUCUACAGGAAUAAACAGAGAGAAAGAACAGGCAGCUGUAUUCAUAAGCAAAUAAAGUAAAAAUGAUAAAAUACUACAGCAUUCUCAAAUACUACAAACUCUUCUAUGAGUCUGUACAAAUUGAAAAAAAAGAUAAGGUUCUAUCCAAAUAGUAAAUAGAUC
ensembl:lncRNA LINC00440 long intergenic non-protein coding RNA 440